CCUGGCUCAGGACGAACGCUGGCGGCGUGCCUAAUACAUGCAAGUCGAACGCUUCUUUCCCGUCCCGAGUGCUUGCACUCAAUUGGAAAGAGGAGUGGCGGACGGGUGAGUAACACGUGGGUAACCUACCCAUCAGAGGGGGAUAACACUUGGAAACAGGUGCUAAUACCGCAUAACAGUUUAUGCCGCAUGGCAUAAGAGUGAAAGGCGCUUUCGGGUGUCGCUGAUGGAUGGACCCGCGGUGCAUUAGCUAGUUGGUGAGGUAACGGCUCACCAAGGCCACGAUGCAUAGCCGACCUGAGAGGGUGAUCGGCCACACUGGGACUGAGACACGGCCCAGACUCUACGGGAGGCAGCAGUAGGGAAUCUUCGGCAAUGGACGAAAGUCUGACCGAGCAACGCCGCGUGAGUGAAGAAGGUUUUCGGAUCGUAAAACUCUGUUGUUAGAGAAGAACAAGGACGUUAGUAACUGAACGUCCCCUGACGGUAUCUAACCAGAAAGCCACGGCUAACUACGUGCCAGCAGCCGCGGUAAUACGUAGGUGGCAAGCGUUGUCCGGAUUUAUUGGGCGUAAAGCGAGCGCAGGCGGUUUCUUAAGUCUGAUGUGAAAGCCCCCGGCUCAACCGGGGAGGGUCAUUGGAAACUGGGAGACUUGAGUGCAGAAGAGGAGAGUGGAAUUCCAUGUGUAGCGGUGAAAUGCGUAGAUAUAUGGAGGAACACCAGUGGCGAAGGCGGCUCUCUGGUCUGUAACUGACGCUGAGGCUCGAAAGCGUGGGGAGCAAACAGGAUUAGAUACCCUGGUAGUCCACGCCGUAAACGAUGAGUGCUAAGUGUUGGAGGGUUUCCGCCCUUCAGUGCUGCAGCAAACGCAUUAAGCACUCCGCCUGGGGAGUACGACCGCAAGGUUGAAACUCAAAGGAAUUGACGGGGGCCCGACAAGCGGUGGAGCAUGUGUUUAAUUCGAAGCAACGCGAAGAACCUUACCAGGUCUUGACAUCCUUUGACCACUCUAGAGAUAGAGCUUUCCCUUCGGGGACAAAGUGACAGUGGUGCAUGGUUGUCGUCAGCUCGUGUCGUGAGAUGUUGGGUUAAGUCCGCAACGAGCGCAACCCUUAUUGUUAGUUGCCAUCAUUUAGUUGGGCACUCUAGCGAGACUGCCGGUGACAAACCGGAGGAAGGUGGGGAUGACGUCAAAUCAUCAUGCCCCUUAUGACCUGGGCUACACACGUGCUACAAUGGGAAGUACAACGAGUCGCUAGACCGCGAGGUCAUGCAAAUCUCUUAAAGCUUCUCUCAGUUCGGAUUGCAGGCUGCAACUCGCCUGCAUGAAGCCGGAAUCGCUAGUAAUCGCGGAUCAGCACGCCGCGGUGAAUACGUUCCCGGGCCUUGUACACACCGCCCGUCACACCACGAGAGUUUGUAACACCCGAAGUCGGUGAGGUAACCUUUUUGGAGCCAGCCGCCUAAGGUGGGAUA
rnacentral:rRNA from 1 species